UACGUAGGGCGCAAGCGUUGUCCGGAAUUAUUGGGCGUAAAGAGCUCGUAGGCGGUUUGUCGCGUCGGCUGUGAAAUCCUGGGGCUUAACUCCGGGCCUGCAGUCGAUACGGCAGACUUGAGUGUGGUAGGGGAGACUGGAAUUCCUGGUGUAGCGGUGAAAUGCGCAGAUAUCAGGAGGAACACCGGUGGCGAAGCGGGUCUCUGGCCAUACUGACGCUGAGGAGCGAAAGCGUGGGAGCGAACAGG
rnacentral:rRNA from 1 species